rnacentral:lncRNA from 1 species
CCGGAGCGGAGACAAAGGCCUGUUUCUCGGAGUGCGUCGGUCGGUCCGAGUUUAGGAAGUCUGUAUCAUCAAGAAAAAACUGCAGGUGGCUGGAAGAUGCCGAUCAGCUGCCAGUCUGGAUAGUAGCCAUCAACUCAGCAAAGGCCUGCAGUCGAAUCAGCCCCACCUGUUUCUCUGCUGCCAUUCAAGACGGGAUGCUUUGUGAAAGUGGGAGCUCAUGGAGGUGGCACGGUGCAUGGAAGAACAGAGUGGCUGACAGUGAGCUGCCCAAGCAAGCUGCUGGCUCUUGUGACUGUCUCUGAAAGCCUCUGGAUGUGCUAAAUUGCAGACGUGCCUGGACAUUUAUAAAUGGUGCUGCUAUCCAGCUCUACGUCACAGCCAUGAAGUGGCCAUGGGGUGAACCAUGGACAACUGCUGUCUUAAGUACUCGAAUCGGCAGAGCCACCUACUAGCUGUGAAGCCCAGUUGCCAGGCAGCAGAUACUCGACCAGCAACCAGCCUUUGUCACUCUAGUGGGACACGAGAGCGACAAACAGAAACAAACGACAGCUACAAGCCUCCAACCCAUUCAGCAUGCCCGUGAUGGUACCUUUGGCAGGCGUUUAUUCGUUCGGUGCUCGUGAAAUAAGCAUGAGUGAUUCUAAGCCUGUCAAAGAUACCCUCGCGUGCAUGAUGCUUGUUUUUAAGCAUAGCCUCCUUUAUUCCACAAAGCCUCAAAUCGCGAAAGACUCAGGUUUGAGACUUGUCGUCAUUUGUUUCUGUUUGUCGCUGUAGUGGGACUCGGGGCAUAAGCUAGCACCAUGUACUGAACAUGAAAUAAAAAACCACUGUAUCAAACUU